rnacentral:piRNA from 1 species
CUGUCAAAGAAUAACGCAGGUGUCCUAA